rnacentral:lncRNA from 1 species
CACGAAGAUGAUGGGGCUCUGGGCUCCACUGAAUUAGCAUCAUCAAACCCUAAUCACCUUCUUUAGCAACUCAAAGAAUGACAUCUCUAUCUGGGCCAUAUCUGCUCGAUUCUGUAAAAUUUAUUAUAAGCUUCUUUAUUAUCCUUUUCCUUUUGUAAGUUUGAAGGAAUUCCAUUUGUUGUCUGCCAAAUGUCCUCCUAUAAUCCACCCACAUAUAUACUUGAGUUCAAUCUCGUAUCAUACACUUUUUUGUCUCACUUGCAAUCAUAGAUGGCACCCAGUUCCAUUGGAACUAGACGAGUAUUGUGUUGUGUUUUUGAAUUUCGUAUUUAAAGUUUGAAUACUUGAUUGUGUAUCACGUUGUGUCAUGUUUUCGAUUUUCGCAUUAAGAGUUUGAAUGCGUGAUUUUGUAGCAGUGAAAACUUAGGAUGAGUUGGGUAGUUCGAUUUUCGUAUUCUCGGUUUCAACAAGCUGCGUGAUUGUGGAGCAGUGAAAACUUUGGCAAUCAAAGAAAGAGUCAAAAGUCAAAAUCAUGAACAGUGAAAAAGAGGCAGAUUCUAUUAAAUUAUUGACAAAGAUCCUUAACUCCUUGUCUUGGGAUUUCAAAAAUUUUACUCUUGUCCUUCAUCUUUUACCCAUAAACAGUGAAAAAAAACUUGCGGAAUCACGGCAUCAGUAGAAUUCUCCUUUUUUCCAUUUCUUGAGGUCACCUUUUUCAACACAGACAAAAACGUACAACCGUUUUUCUUUAUACUGAUGUUUUUUGCUAUUUUAUUGUAAUUUCUUGUGUAAAAAUCAUGGAUCCCAAGGGCUCAAAACAGCCACAGGAGGUUUCGAGUUUCUUAAAUAACAGCCCCGGGAUGGGCGAGAUUAAGGCCGCAGAGAUGAAAGAUUUUCAGAUUGUGGUUGCAGAGAAAGAAGAAGGGAAAAAGCAGGCACUGGCACCCAAAAGAAGCUCGAAUAAAGAUAGGCACACGAAAGUUGAAGGCAGAGGGAGGAGGAUAAGGAUGCCUGCCCUUUGUGCUGCUAGAAUUUUUCAGCUGACCAGAGAACUGGGACACAAAUCUGAUGGAGAAACUAUACAGUGGCUGUUACAGCAGGCGGAGUCAUCGAUAAUCGCUGCUACAGGGUCAGGGACUAUACCCGCGUCAGCUUUAGCAGCAGCAGGGGUUUCUAUUUCCCAACAGGGGAACUCUAUAUCAGCAGGGAUUCACCAGAAGAUUGACGAAUUCGGUGGGCAUAUGGGGGGGCCAGGUGGGGGUGGGAAUAGGACCAGUUGGCCUAUGGUAAAUUUGGGAAGACCCCAUAUGGCAAGUGCAGGGAUAUGGCCCCCUGCUGUCAGUGGAUUUGGAUUUCAGUCAUCAUCUGGUCCACCGACAGUUAAUCUGGGUAGUGAGGGUUCUAAUUACUUGCAAAAGAUUGGGUUCCCAGGGUUUGACCUGUCAUCAAGCAAUAUUGGGCCAAUGAGUUUUACCUCAAUUAUGGGUGCUAGUACUAACCAGCAGCUUCCAGGGUUGGAGCUUGGUCUAUCACAAGAUGGUCAUAUUGGGGUUUUGAAUCCUCAGGCAAUGAGCCAGCUUUACCAGCAGAUGGGACAGUCUAGGAUGCACCCUCAACAGCAGCAGCAGCAAGCAUCUCCCAAGGAUGACUCUCAAGGAUCGGGACAGUAGAUUGGUUCUUAAACACAUUCGAGUUGCAAAAAGCACAAAAGAAGAAGAAGAAGAAGAUAUUGCCUCGCGGAGAAGAUGGAUUUUGUGGAUGAUUGGUUCCAGUUAUUGUCUAAUUACUGAAAAACAUGGGUAUCCAAGAAUUCUGCCGGGCUGACAGCUUCUUCCGACUCUCUAAAUACAGGUGCUCCAGGAUCAUUUUGUUGUUUCCAUUUUACUUAUGUUCUUGUAUAAAUUAUAGAUACGUUACAUGUUACUUUUACAUUAUUGCCUGUGCUCCGAAAUGUGAGGUUGGAACUAUGCCUACUGGUUAGUCAGGAUUUGGGCUAAUGUUCUUGUUUAUGUUCAAGGGUGUGCUCAUCAUAGUUCAAAGGAUCUUUACGUGGGUUUGCCAAUAUAUAUAAAUUAAUUACGUUAUUAUGUGAAAAUAGGAAACAAGGUAUUAUGUGCCCACAGUUGUGCGAUUUCCUCGUCUGCAGUUUCUGUUUUUGAGAUCUCAUAUUUUGUACAGGCAAGCAAUGUUCAUUCGUUGCAGCUUCUGGCUUUCUUAAAGUUUCCACUGGCUAGUGAAUCUUUUGUGAUUUGUUACAUGUUUAGAUGAGUAAACGUCAGGAUUUAAAUGGUGCAAUAUAUUCUCUCAGUGAAAUCUGAUCUUGAUUAUAGCUUCUACUUUCUUUUCUCCACAAUGAUCUAGUUAUAAUUUUUAUCUCGGACGAAAGGUUUGAUACUUUGAAGUCAGUGAAAGCCAACUAGUAAAGCCAACUAGUUUUGUAUUAGCGUGCUUUAAGCCUUCAACACCUGGAAUAAUAAGUUAGGAUUUUGAAUUUGCUGGUAUCUCCGAUAGAUACUCUGGUUUUAGGUGGUUCAGGUCAAGGUGACACCAAAGGUUUUGUUUUAUUAGUUUCUUGAGGGUUGAUAGUUCAACGUGGCCACUUUCAAGGCUCUGAUUCGCCUCAACACUGUAUAAUAACAAACUAAGACUUAUUAUCAAUUUACUAGCCAAUUUAGCUUAAAUGCAUAUUUACUUGAGUAAAUCAGCAAUCUCCCUGUGAUUCUUCUGGGAUAUGUAUUGCUUUGGUUUGCAUUUUUUCAAUCAUUUAGUUUGCCGUAUUUUCUGACCCCGAGUCAUUUUGAAAAUCAACGUCUUCAUGUUAUAUUGCACGAAUACAUUGUUCUGAUGCCUGUUUUGGUUCAUAUUUUCACCAGUGUCCCCUACCUCAUAUGCAUUGGAACUGUUGCAGAAUUCUCUUCUCUUUGUCUUCCACUGUAUUGAUUUGCAAACCGAUAUAUUAACUCUGGGCUAAUAUUCAAUAAUUUUUCGAGAGUUCAUGGUGGUACUUCUGUUUAUCUGUGAAUAUGUUUUAAACAGCUCGUGUCUGAGAAAUAUGGAGAAGACUGUGUGGUUGAAUAACAGAUGUGAAUGAAGAAUCAUAAUGUUCAAUUGAAGUCCUGUCAUCAACUUAGAUUCCAUGUAAUUUGAAUUCAAAGCUGAAUGGAUCACAAAGGACUGAUUUAUACUUCUUUUCUUAGUCUGGUGUAGAUGACUCGAGUCAACUGGUUUGUCUGAUCUGUUUACUCUGCUGAGGGACCUUAGCAUUAGUUGUAGUUGUUCCAUUGUACUUGAAGUAUAUAUGCAACUAGAAAGAUUUCAGUUUCAUCUCAUUUUCUAGAUGACCGGAAAGGGCAGGGAGCACAUUCAUCUCAUUUACCUUUUUACACGAUGGUCGACCGACUGACCACUUCAUGUAUAGACAAGUAGGUUCAACCACCAUGAAUGAGAGGACAGAGAAAAAGUGUAUAAUAUCAGGUGGUUCGUCUAAAAACAUCCUAGGCAGCCAUGUUAAUGCAAUUAGGCCAAACCCAAAAGUGGGAAACAGAGCAAACUGCAAAAACAACUAAAUCUGAAGCUGAAGAAAGAGGAAAGAUUUUGAACAGCAAACAUGUGGACAACACAUGGGUAUUUGGCUUUUUGUGAGUUUCAUUCCCAUUAAAUAUGGGCACACAAUGUGAAAUGUGUACAUUUAAUAAGAUGGGUGUGAUGUGAAUGUCACAAAAUUGAAUUUGCAUGAGAAAAGUGGGAGAAAGAUUCCAAUUUGAAGUGUUGUUGGGCUAUAAUUAAUGAGUUAUCCUCUGUCACCAAUAAAUGCCAGAGCAUUAUCUAUAAGAU